rnacentral:rRNA from 1 species
UACGUAGGGGCUAGCGUUGUCCGGAUUUAUUGGGCGUAAAGAGCGUGUAGGCGGCCAGGUAGGUCUGCUGUGAAAACUCGAGGCUCAACCUCGAGAUGGUCGGCGAAACCAUCUGGCUAGAGUCCGGAAGAGGAAGUGAGUACUCGUGGUGAGAGCGGUGAAAUGCGCAGAUAUCAGGAGGAACACCCGUGGCGAAGGCGGCAUCCU